UACGUAGGGGGCAAGCGUUGUCCGGAUUUAUUGGGCGUAAAGAGCGUGUAGGCGGCUUGGUAGGUCCGCUGUGAAAACUCGAGGCUCAACCUCGAGAUGUCGGCGGAGACCACUUGGCUAGAGUCCGGAAGAGGAGAGUGGAAUUCCCGGCGUAGCGGUGAAAUGCGCAGAUAUCGGGAAGAACACCUAUGGCGAAGGCAGCUCUCUGGGACGGUACUGACGCUGAGACGCGAAAGCGUGGGGAGCGAACAGG
rnacentral:rRNA from 1 species